ensembl:lncRNA
AUUGUUGUCAGUACAGUUGUACUUGUAGUAGUUUCCUCUGUAGUACUUGGUUCCUGAGUUGUAGUGGUUGGGGCUACAGUUGUUGUAGAUGCUGUUGUUGUUGUUAUUGUUGUCAGUACAGUUGUACUUGUAGUUUCCUCUGUAGUACUUGGUUCCUGAGUUGUAGUGGUUGGGGCUACAGUUGUUGUAGAUGCUGUUGUUGGUACUGUUGAUGGUUCUGUGCUUGUUGUAGCCUGUGUAGUUGAUUCUGUGGUAGUGGUUAGUUCUGUUGUUGCUGCUGUAGUUAAUGUUGUACUUAGAGCUGUAGUUGUUUCCUCUGUAGUUGUUGCUUCCUCAGUUGGAGUAGUUGGAGCUGGAGUAGUUGUAGAUGCAGUUGUUCCUACUGUUGUUGGUUCUGUGCUUGUUGUAGCCUGUGUAGUUGAUUCUGUGGUAGUAGUUAGUUCUUUUGUUGCUGCUGUAGAUGAUGAUGUACUUGGAGCUGUAGUUGUUUCCUCUGUAGUUGUUGCUUCCUCAGUUGGAGCUGGAGUAGUUGUAGAUGCAGUUGUUCCUACUGUUGUUAGUUCUGUUGUUGCUGCUGUAGAUGAUGAUGUACUUGGAGCUGUAGUUGUUUCCUCUGUAGUUGUUGCUUCCUCAGUUGGAGCUGGAGUAGUUGUAGAUGCAGUUGUUCCUACUGUUGUUGGUUCUGUGCUUGUUGUAGCCUCUGUAGUUGAUUCUGUGGUAGUAGUUAGUUCUGUUGUUGCUGCUGUAGAUGAUGUUGUACUUGAAGCUGUAGUUGUUUCCUCUGUAGUUG